rnacentral:rRNA from 1 species
AUUGCACGCUGGCGGCAUGCCUUACACAUGCAAGUCGAACGGUAACAGGUCUUCGGAUGCUGACGAGUGGCGAACGGGUGAGUAAUACAUCGGAACGUGCCCGAGAGUGGGGGAUAACGAGGCGAAAGCUUUGCUAAUACCGCAUACGACCUGAGGGUGAAAGCGGGGGAUCGCAAGACCUCGCGCGAUUGGAGCGGCCGAUAUCAGAUUAGGUAGUUGGUGGGGUAAAGGCCCACCAAGCCGACGAGCUGUAGCUGGUCUGAGAGGACGACCAGCCACACUGGGACUGAGACACGGCCCAGACUCCUACGGGAGGCAGCAGUGGGGAAUUUUGGACAAUGGGCGCAAGCCUGAUCCAGCCAUGCCGCGUGCAGGAUGAAGGCCUUCGGGUUGUAAACUGCUUUUGUACGGAACGAAACGGCUCUUUCUAAUAAAGAGGGCUAAUGACGGUACCGUAAGAAUAAGCACCGGCUAACUACGUGCCAGCAGCCGCAGUAAGAC